AUACGGAGGGUGCAAGCGUUAAUCGGAAUUACUGGGCGUAAAGCGCGCGUAGGCGGUUAUUUAAGUCAGAUGUGAAAUCCCUGGGCUCAACCUAGGAACUGCAUCUGAUACUGGGUAACUAGAGUUUUAGAGAGGUAAGUGGAAUUUCCGGUGUAGCGGUGAAAUGCAUAGAGAUCGGAAGGAACACCAGUGGCGAAGGCGACUUACUGGCCAAAAACUGACGCUGAGGUGCGAAAGCGUGGGUAGCAAACAGCAUUAGAAACCCUAGUAGUCC
rnacentral:rRNA from 1 species